rnacentral:rRNA from 1 species
GACGAACGCUGGCGGCGUGCUUAACACAUGCAAGUCGAACGGAAAGGCCCUGCUUUUGUGGGGUGCUCGAGUGGCGAACGGGUGAGUAACACGCGAGUAACCUGCCCUUGACUUUGGGAUAACUUCAGGAAACUGGGGCUAAUACCGGAUAGGAGCUCCUGCUGCAUGGUGGGGGUUGGAAAGUUUCGGCGGUUGGGGAUGGACUCGCGGCUUAUCAGCUUGUUGGUGGGGUAGUGGCUUACCAAGGCUUUGACGGGUAGCCGGCCUGAGAGGGUGACCGGCCACAUUGGGACUGAGAUACGGCCCAGACUCAUACGGGAGGCAGGAGUGGGGAAUAUUGCACAAUGGGCGGAAGCCUGAUGCAGCAACGCCGCGUGCGGGAUGACGGCCUUCGGGUUGUAAACCGCUUUCGCCUGUGACGAAGCGUGAGUGACGGUAAUGGGUAAAGAAGCACCGGCUAACUACGU